AUGAAGCAAAAGGAGGGCCUUUUAGACAUUCCAUCAGGGGCUUGCAGAGGACGUCUGGCGGUGAGUCAAUCAAGAAGCAGCAUGAACUGGCAGCAGAAUCUAUGCCGAUUUUUAAAAUAUACAUUUAUAUAUACAUUUAUAUACUUUUUUUGCCUAUCUGCCAAUCCUAGGUAGCGCUCAUCUGAAUUUGUUUCCAUGGCCUCUACACAGACAGUUUCUUUUCCCCUCCUCCCCUCACUGCUCCCUUAUUCUUCCCUCACCACCCCUACACCCCCAUCCCCCGCUGUCCUCCUAGGGCUGGAGACCGGUGCAAUAUCAUUUUCCGCAUAAUGAAAUCUGGAGUGACAUUAAUAUAAGUGUAAUUUUAUAGAAGGGAAUGGGCCUGGCU
rnacentral:lncRNA from 1 species